CUCAAAGAUUAAGCCAUGCACGUGUAAGAAUGACCUUAUUUAUGAGGUAAUCUGCGAACGGCUCCGUAAAACAGUUAUAGUUUGCUUGAUGAUUGUGGAGAAAUCCACUAAUUGGAUAAUCUCGGGAAUUCUGAGAAUAAUACAUGCAAGAAAAAGUUAGUGAAAGCUAACUGCAUCCACAACUUGGUGAUACAAGGUGGAGGUAAUAGCAUAGCAGUUGGAAAACGACUGCAAUAACAAGAAAGUUUCUGACCUAUCAACUUUGGAUGGCAAUGUAUUGUAUUGCCAUGGUUGUCACGGGUGACAGAGAAUUAGGGUUCGAUUCUGGAGAGGGAGCAUGAGAGAUGGCUACCAGUUCUAAGGAGGGCAGCAGGCGCGAAACUUACCCAAUGCUAAUACAGUGAGGUAGUGACAAGAAAUAACAAUACAAUUAGUGGUUAAAUCCACAUUUGUCAUUGGAAUGGUCCGGAUUUAGUAUGAACCGGAGAGCAGCAACGUGGAGGGCAAGUCUGGUGCCAGCAGCC
rnacentral:rRNA from 1 species